rnacentral:lncRNA from 1 species
UAUUAAGCAGUGUGCAAAGAAUCUACAAGGAAAUUACUUGAAAAAGAAAGAAAAAGAAGCAAACGCCUGUGAAAUUAACCUGGCUGAUCUAAGCCACUCCUCAUAAAGAUUCCCUUUCCAACCCUUCACCAUUUUAGUGGCCCUCCUUUGGGCACUCUCUAAUAGCUCAGUGUACUUUUUUAUGUUGUGGUGCCCAAAACUGCACAGUGGACUUGAGGGCACCACAGCACAGAGCAGGGUGGGACAAUCCCCUCCCUUGCCCUGCUGAUUCCCCCAUCUGUCCAUACAACCAGGGUUUCCCUUUCCCAGGAGCAGAAUCCAGCACUAACCCUUGUUAAAUUUCAUGUGGUUUUAAAGGGACUGAACCCCCCAUGGAACAGGUUGCUGCCCAGAGGGCAGAGGUUACAACAAACACAGGCACCGAAGUGAACACCCUGACUCAUAAAGCCCUGCUGACAUUUUCUUGCUCAAAUGCAGGGCCCAGGUGGGUUUGGAUUCUUGCUGAUCUACAAAGAAUUCCCACAUCGUGGUCAGUUUUCAGCUGGCUUAGAUAUACCAGGUUCUUCCUGCCAUCACAAUUUGGAGGCUGCUGGGUUGAAGAUCACCUCCAUCAGGUUCCAAAACCCAGUGAGUGCUGCAGCCAAGGAAAUUCUCCUUCAGAAGUGGCAUUGAUUGGAGAGUGCCUGAAGAACUGGAGGGCAGGAAUCCAGGUGAUGCUGUGGAACUGGAAGUGAGAAUUGACAAAAAUGCUGAUACUUCAUGACUGGGACACAGAUACUGUUCUUAGGGAAAACCAGUCAGGUUUCCUAAUGCAGACUAGUGAAGAAAUAGUUGGGUUGCAGGUUUAUAGAAAAAUAUAUUUUUAUUACUCACAAACGACCAUGAAUCACAAUGACAGGUUGUAGGACAACCCCCACAAAUUUAAAAAAAAAAAGUAUAUGCAGGAGUAAGCCUCACGACACAAUCCUUCUCUCCAUUCAGAACUGAGGGAGACCUGAGCUGGAAAUCUGGAUUCAGUUUUCUUGGGCAGCCAGGAAUACACUGAACCAACAACCAAACCGGCAGAAGCAAAAUGCUGCUCCAGCUCAAAUUUAUGAUACCACAGAUAUAUUUGACAAGGUAAAAACAAUGAAAUAAAAGAGGAGAAAAAUUACCUGUGCA